AUUGAACGCUGGCGGCAGGCCUAACACAUGCAAGUCGAGCGAGCGGCGGACGGGUGAGUAAUUUCUGGGAAACUGCCUGAUGGAGGGGGAUAACUACUGGAAACGAUAGCUAAUACCGCAUACCCUCAGAUGUGCCCAGAUGGGAUUAGCUGGUAGGUGGGGUAACGGCUCACCUAGCCGACGAUCCCUAGCUGGUCUGAGAGGAUGACCAGCCACACUGGAACUGAGACACGGGCCAGACUCCUACGGGAGGCAGCAGUGGGGAAUAUUGCACAAUGGGCGAAAGCCUGAUGCAGCCAUGCCGCGUGUGUGAAGAAGGCCUUCGGGUUGUAAAGCACUUUCAGCGGGGAGGCGUUACCCGCAGAAGAAGCACCGGCUAACUCCGUGCCAGCCGCCGCGGUAAUAC
rnacentral:rRNA from 1 species